rnacentral:lncRNA from 10 species
CACCCGCCCACCCCACCAGGGCGUGGCGCGGGAAGGGGGACCCAGGAAGGUUAUGAUACGUCUCCGGCGCGCCACCUCUGAGCCGGCCACCAGGUGAGAGCCCAGGCAGGUAACCCUGCGCUCGUCCCUCAGGCGCCCACUCAUCAGCUGGGGAGCCCCAGGGCACGGACACCGGCCCCUAUCCUGGCCCUGCCCGAUCCCCAGGUACCCAGGUGUGCAGGACCGGGGGAUCCCCAACCUUUCCAGCCUCGCUGCAUCUUCCUCCAGCCUUCCGGCUUCCUUCCUUUCCAUGCUGAGCCCACUGACCCCUCCUCAGAAGCCCGGGGCAACCUCAAAACAAAACCAGAAUCCCGGAAUUGCAGUGGGCUUUCUGAGCUGUGCGACCUAGUCCUGCACCAUUCCCCUUCCCAAUAAAUGGCAACAUGACUGGAAACCUUGGAGAAAUCCAAGUCUGGAAAUGCUGGACUUUGCUGUUUCUCUCACACCCACCAGGAGCAUCCUUGGACCAGAAACUAGUAUUCAUGGCCUGUAACUCCUGCUGCCAGGAAAAGAGACAUCAAGCUCUUGAAGAACUGGCCAGUUUCUUCUCCAUAAUGGGCAAAUUGUGCCUCUCCCCUCCCAGGGUUUUCGAGACCGUGACUCCACAACAUGAUGGGCACCCGAUGCUCUCCGGUCAGCUACAGCUGGGCUCCAGGAGGGACAGACACGUGGUCACUGUAUUUGCUUUGCUUAUUCUCACAGGUUGCAGGGAUAUUGAAGGCUAAGACAAGGUCAGUGUUGAAGGACUCUAGGGGCCAGGCACGAUGGCUCACGCCUGUAAUCCCAGCACUUUGGGAGGCUGAGGCAAGAGGAUCGCUUGAGCCCAGGAGUUUGAGAUCAGCCUGCGUGACAUAGUGAGACCUCAGCUCUAAAAAUAAAAUUGUAAAAAGUUUUAAAAAUCUUGGCUGGGUGUGGUGGCUCAUGCCUGUAAUCCCAGCACUUUGGGAGGCCGAGGCAGGUGGAUCACUUCAGGUCAGGAGUUUGAGACCAGCCUGGCCAACACAGGGAAACGCCAUGUCUACUAAAAAUACAGAAAAAUUAGCCAGGCGUGGUGGCAUGCACCUGCAGUCUCAGCUACUCGGGAGGCUGAGGUGAAAGAAUUGCUUAAACCUGGGAGGCCAAGGCUUAGGUGAACUGCGAUCGCUCCGCCUGGGUGACAGAGUGAAACCCUGUCUAAAAAAAAAAGAAAAAAAAGGCUUUUUGAAUGCGGGGAUGGUGGCCUAAAGACAGACUUGGGUGGAAGGUGUGUGGUUCUACAUUUCCACCAGGAAAUUCCAAAUAUGAUCAUUUAACAUGACCAGAAAAGUUCUUGCUCACAUUACUCUGGUUAAAACUUUUUGGGGCCAGGCGCGGUGGCUCACACCUGUAAUCCCAGCACUUUGAGAGGCCGAGGCAGGUAGACCAUGAGGUCAAGAGUUUGAGACCAAUCUGGCCAACAUGGUGAAACCCCAUCUCUACUAAGAAUACAAAAUUAGCCGGGCGUGGUGGUGCACGCCUGUAAUCCCAGCUACAUGGGAGGCUGAGGCAGGAGAAUCACUUGAACCUGGGAGGCAGAGGUUGCAGUGAGCCGAGAUCACACCACUGCACUCCAGCCUGGUGACAGAGCGAGACUCUGUCUCAGAAAACAAACAGACAAACAAACAAACAAACAAAAACUUGCUUUUGGCUGGGUGCAGUGGCUCACGUCUGUAAUCCCAGUACUUUGGGAGGCAGAGGCUGGAGGAUUGCUUGAGACCAGAAGUUCGAGGCCGGCCUGGGCAACAGAACAAGACCUCACCACUGCUAAAAAAUAUUUGAAAAAUUUUUAAAAGACACUGAGGCAGAAGAAUUGUUUGAACCCGGGAGGCAGAGGUUGCAGUGAGCCAAGAUCGUGCCACUGCACUCCAGUCUGGGUGACAGAGUAAAACUCCAUCUCAAAAAUAAAUAAAUAAAUAAAUAAAUAAAUAAAAGACUUGCAUUUGAUCCUUUUGUAGUUCGUAAACUUGAUGAUUGGGUUUUCAUGCUCUUAAGUGAGAUGCGUGAAAUGGUUUGGCUGUGUCCCCACCCAAAUCUCAUCUUGAAUUGUAGCUCCCAUGAUUCCCAUGUGUUGUGGGAGGGACCCAGUGGGAGAUGAUGGAAUCAUCGAGGCGGUUUCUCCCAUACUGUUCUCUUGGUAGUGCAUAAGUUUCACGAGAUCUGAUGGGUUUUUUUUUUUUUUUUGAGAUGGAGUCUCGCUCUUUCACCCAGGCUGGAGUGCAGUGGCGCGAUCUCAGCUCACUGCAAGCUCUGCCUCCCGGGUUCACGCCAUUCUCCUGCCUCAGCCUCCCUAGCAGCUGGGACUACAGGCGCCUACCACCACGCCCAGCUAAUUUUUUUGUAUUUUUAGUAGAGACGGGGUUUCACUGUGUUUGCCAGGAUGAUCUCGAUCUUCUGACCUCGUGAUCCGCCCGCCUCGGCCUCCCAAAGUGCUGGGAUUACAGGCGUGAGCCACCGUGCCCGGCGGAUCUGAUGGUUUUGUAAGGGUUUCUCCCCUUUCACUUGGUUCUUAUUCUCUCUCUUCUCUGCUGCCAUAUAAGACGUGCUCUUUGCCUUCCACCAUGAUUGUGAGGCCUCCCCAG